UACGAGGGGGGCAAGCGUUGUUCGGAAUUAUUGGGCGUAAAGGGUGCGUAGGCGGCGCGGUAUGUCUCUUGUGAAAUCUCCAGGCUCAACUUGGAGUCUGCAAGGGAAACUGCCGUGCUUGAGUACUGGAGAGGUGAGUGGAAUUCCCGGUGUAGCGGUGAAAUGCGUAGAUAUCGGGGAGGAACACCUGUGGCGAAAGCGGCUCACUGGACAGUAACUGACGCUGAUGGCAACGAAAGCUAGGGGAGCAAACAGG
rnacentral:rRNA from 1 species